AAAGAUGGAAGCGCAGCUGAAUGUUCCAAUUGCUGAUUUUUGGUCAGACCCGUGCUUGGAAUUUGCAAUCAAAACUCUUACGGGUGCGUUGCCGGUGGAGAAUGCCACUACCACCAACGAGCCAGUUUCUAAUCCUACAGUCAACUUCCUGCAAGGACAGAGCUCAGUAAAAAAUGGUCCGGGAAGUCGCAUGAAUAAGAGAACUCAAGGGAACAAAAGAAUCAGGAACAAGAAAGAGCUCACUACUAGUAGUCAAUCUCCAAGUAUUAAUGGGCUCAAGCCUGAACUGGCAUCAAAUAUAAUUUCCUUUGAUCAAGCAAACCCAAAUCAUCAUUCAAAUGAAGCUGUUCUGGCUUUUAAUUUAUCAGACGGUAGAAUACAUGGACAACCGAGUAAGAAUGAACAAUAUAAAACAUCUUGCGAAAUCUUGACACCCAGUGAGCUGCAUCAUUCCCUGCCCCAGGUAGACUCCGAACGAUUUAACGGGAUCAGCGCAUGUCAUGAGAGCAACAACAUGAUGCUCGAUGAUCCGCAUCAAAUCCUUCAAACGAAUGACCAUAUGACAUCAGAAGUUCCAUUAUCCUUUCCAUUUGGGGAUUCCUGGGCAGAUCCGUGCUUGGAUUUUGCAUUCAAGACCCUCACAGGUGCAAUACCAAUCGACGAUAGUCUGGAAAUUCAAAGCUUCUUUGAGGAACGACUUGAAUCCUCUCGCAGCCAAAAAGACAGUAGCCCAGCACUGCCAGACUUUGGAUCCCCUAACCUCUUCCAAAACGAUAUAUCAUCCCACUUUGACGGACCCGAAAAAUCUGUUUCGGGACAGCACUUGAGUUUAGAUCCUCAGCUGUCUCUAGGGAACGUGAGCCUACCAAGCUGCAGUGGAUUCACUUCUCAAC
rnacentral:lncRNA from 1 species